rnacentral:rRNA from 1 species
CCUACGGGAGGCAGCAGUGGGGAAUAUUGCACAAUGGGCGCAAGCCUGAUCCAGCCACGCCGCGUGAAUGAAGAAGGCUUUCGGGUUGUAAACUUCUUUUAGCAGGGACGAAGAGAGUGACGUUACCUUAUUAAUAAGCCACGGCUAACUCCGUACCAGCCGCCGUGGUAAUACGUAGGGAGCAAGCGUUGUCCGGAUUUGCUGGGUGUAAAGGGUGCGUAGGCGGCCUUGAAAGUCAGAAGUGAAAUCCAUGGGUUUAACCCGGGAACUGCUUUGGAAACUGUAGGGCUUGAGUGCAGUAGAGGGAGGUGGAAUUCCCGGUGUAGCGGUGAAAUGCGUAGAGAUCGGGAGGAACACCAGUGGCGAAGGCGGCCUGCUGGGCUGUAACUGACGCUGAAGCACGAAAGCGUGGGGAGCAAACAGGAUUAGAUACCCUAGUAGUC